AAAUGAUUGACAAGGCCAUUCAUAAGUUGAUUUUAACAUACCUUCAAUGUGCUCACUUUCAGUGAUCAACAGAUGUAAAGUUCUUCAGGAAAUUAUAUACAACUGUUUCUGGAUCAUAGUAGAAGCCUUAUACAUAGCAUAAAAAUCAUUUACAUUUAAAAUUAUCUGUGAUCAGACUCCAUGGAACUACAAUGGACCCUGAAAGAGAAGACCACGCAUCAGCCAGAAAUCCUGGAGUAGAUGACACAAGGAAAAAGAACUUUGUGGAUUCUCUGUGUGAAUUAAAAAAAAAAAUGUGCAGGUAUUUUUUGAACCAUGGCAGAGACUGUAGCAGCCCUCUAAUCUCUUUUUACAAUGUAAGUGUGUUUAGGUGGGCAAUGAUCACACAACUAAAGAGUUUUUCCAACUUUUCUGCAGAAAGGAGUGGCACUGUGCCUAGGUUCUGACUAUUGCAAUGUAAAUGUU